UUUUGAAAAAACCGCUUAGGUGAUUAUCGCGUAAUAAUCCGAGGUCGCUUGACCAAUCAGCGGCCACAAUUUUCGAUAAUCACCUUUGUAAUUAUACUAAUAUUAUUUAAUUUAAAACAUAGUUGGAACACUCAUCAAAUCUUUAUUUUGUUAAUCUAUAUAAAGCUUGAAAUAUCCCCGUAACAAUGUGUGACUGCCAAGUCUUAUAGUGCUCGUUUGACAGGGACAAAAUAACAGUAACCCCGAAACGGGGAACAUUUUGAAAAGUGUUUAUCUGACAUUUUCGACUAGAUUUCGCUCAUCAGUGUCGUCAUCAGGGGCAGGUUUGUUCAAAGCUGGUUUAGCUUUAGGUUGACAUAAAUUCAAAGCAAACUUCCUGACAGCUUGUCUGUAAAUUUGGAAAUAUUUCUUCAGAGAUCUUGUCUGGAUCGAUAGGAGUUUACUUCUCUGAAGUUUUGAAAUAAACAGCUAGACGUGUAGAAAUAUACAAACUAAAAACAGCAGGUUAAAUUUUAACCCAGGGUUAGCGCUAACACACAUUUGAACAACCGUUCCCAGAUGACUAAAAUCAUUAAACCAUCAUUCAUUAAAAUCGAGACGAAAUGUCGAAUAAGCAGUUUUCGAAAUGAUUACCAUUUUCGGAGUUUCUAUUGUUUGGAUUUAAUUACAAUAAUCGGUGGUUCCCACGAUUUCUCAAGGUUUGUGCUUGCACGUCACAAAAUCUCUUCCUAUACUUUUCUGGAACCCAAGCGUAGCAUUAGUAGCAUUACAUUCCCGAAAUAGAAACACUUUAUAAUUUUAAGCAUUCCAACACGUUUUUUUCCAGCCUUUUGAUAGAUCAUACAUGUCGUCACACCUUUAUGCAACUUGAGAAAGAUUGGAUCGCAAAUAUAUUAAUAUGAAAUAGACUUUCUUUUGGCAGUCUCGUGCUGUUGUGAGCAAUGAUGCAUCCGCCUAAAAUGCUAAUGAGCAUCGCAUUUUGCGCGCUUUUGUGGAGCGCGUCUCGAGUAGUGGCUUCGCGUUUGUAUUCAAGCGCAAUUGAACCGUCGCAUUCUUUUCAAAAGACCCAAAGUGGUAGGUUUUGUGUAGUCGUGUGAUUAUUUCUUAGUAGUUUACUAUGGAUUAUACCUAAAUACAUGUUAAUCCUAGGUAUAAUGCUGUUAUAAAUUGUAGUUCAGUUAUUUGAAUUAGGGUAUAAUGUUUUGGAUUAUGUUUCAAACGAGGCCCAUAAAUGAACCAAUUAGUUUAAAAAUUUGUCAUACGGCACAAAUAUUCAGACUAAUAUUACUCAGUUACAUCUGUGUUUAUAUAUAAGACUGAUUAGAUAAGUUCUAUAUUUAGGAAUCACAAAUAUAAUUAUACUGUUAAUAACUCCUGUUAUAUAAAUUUUGAGAAACUAUUGAGGACAGAAAAUUUCCGACGCGCGUCGAAAUAUUUUAUACAGGAAAUUAAGUACUAUUUAAUAGGC